rnacentral:tRNA from 3 species
GCCGAGGUGGUGGAAUUGGUAGACACGCAGCGUUGAGGGCGCUGUGGCCGUAUAGGCUGUAGGAGUUCGAGUCUCCUCCUCGGCACCA